CAGUUGCUAAAAACUCUGUGAAACUCUUCUAAAUGUCCAACAAGUGGCUGGCUUUGUUGCUACUGCAACUUUUAGUGCUAUUUAUGCAAUCGUGGGAGACGAAAGCAGAUUGCUGUCGUCCAACUAAAUAUAUAUGUCCGGAUGAGACAAUUCCCACACCUUGUUGUGCUACGACCAAAUGCAAUUUAUUCUGCUGCAAUUGCAAAUGUCGCGUCGAAAAGAAGCCAGACCAAGAUGAAACUCAUAGGAAUAGUCGAGAACAUCAUGAAGGCUCCAAAUAAUAUUUUGAUAUCUGAUAUCCUCAAUUUCGUCAAGAACUAAGCCAAAAAUUAAAAAGUUGUAAAUAAAAAAUUAUUUAAAUAAUAAAAUCAAAACUUUUCUUUUUA